rnacentral:rRNA from 1 species
GACGAACGCUGGCGGCGUGCCUAAUACAUGCAAGUAGAACGCUGAAGGAGGGGCUUGCUUCUCUGGAUGAGUUGCGAACGGGUGAGUAACGCGUAGGUAACCUGCCUGGUAGCGGGGGAUAACUAUUGGAAACGAUAGCUAAUACCGCAUAAGAGUAGAUGUUGCAUGACAUUUACUUAAAAGGUGCAAUUGCAUCACUACCAGAUGGACCUGCGUUGUAUUAGCUAGUUGGUGAGGUAACGGCUCACCAAGGCAACGAUACAUAGCCGACCUGAGAGGGUGAUCGGCCACACUGGGACUGAGACACGGCCCAGACUCCUACGGGAGGCAGCAGUAGGGAAUCUUCGGCAAUGGACGGAAGUCUGACCGAGCAACGCCGCGUGAGUGAAGAAGGUUUUCGGAUCGUAAAGCUCUGUUGUAAGAGAAGAACGAGUGUGAGAGUGGAAAGUUCACACUGUGACGGUAUCUUACCAGAAAGGGACGGCUAACUACGUG